UACGGAGGGUGCGAGCGUUGUCCGGAAUCACUGGGCGUAAAGGGCGCGUAGGCGGCGCGGAUAGUCGGCGGUGAAAGCCCGGAGCUCAACUCCGGGUCGGCCGUCGAUACUUCCGGGCUUGAGCACUGUAGAGGCAGAUGGAAUUCCGGGUGUAGCGGUGGAAUGCGUAGAGAAUCCGGAAGAACACCGGUGGCGAAGGCGGUCUGCUGGGCAGUUGCUGACGCUGAUGCGCGACAGCGUGGGGAGCAAACGAGG
rnacentral:rRNA from 1 species